UUAAACUGAAGAGUUUGAUCAUGGCUCAGAUUGAACGCUGGUGGCAGGCUUAACACAUGCAAGUCGAACGGUAACGGGUUGAAAGCUUGCUUUCGACGCUGACGAGUGGCGGACGGGUGAGUAAUGCUUGGGAAUCUGGCUUAUGGAGGGGGAUAACCAUUGGAAACGAUGGCUAAUACCGCAUAGAAUCGGAAGAUUAAAGGGUGGGACUUUUUGCCACCUGCCAUAAGAUGAGCCCAAGUGGGAUUAGGUAGUUGGUGGGGUAAAGGCCUACCAAGCCUGCGAUCUCUAGCUGGUCUGAGAGGAUGGCCAGCCACACUGGGACUGAGACACGGCCCAGACUCCUACGGGAGGCAGCAGUGGGGAAUAUUGCGCAAUGGGGGGAACCCUGACGCAGCCAUGCCGCGUGAAUGAAGAAGGCCUUCGGGUUGUAAAGUUCUUUCAGUGGUGAGGAAGGUUGGUGUGUUAAUAGCACACUGAUUUGACGUUAGCCACAGAAGAAGCACCGGCUAACUCCGUGCCAGCAGCCGCGGUAAUACGGAGGGUGCGAGCGUUAAUCGGAAUAACUGGGCGUAAAGGGCACGCAGGCGGUAAAUUAAGU
rnacentral:rRNA from 1 species